CCUACGGGCGGCAGCAGUGAGGAAUAUUGGUCAAUGGGCGCAAGCCUGAACCAGCCAAGUCGCGUGAGGGAUGACGGUCCUAUGGAUUGUAAACCUCUUUUGUCGGGGAGCAAGGCCCGCCACGUGUGGCGGGAAGGAGAGUACCCGAAGAAAAAGCAUCGGCUAACUCCGUGCCAGCAGCCGCGGUAAUACGGAGGAUGCGAGCGUUAUCCGGAUUUAUUGGGUUUAAAGGGUGCGUAGGCGGACUGGAAAGUCAGCGGUAAAAUCGAGAGGCUCAACCUCUUUCCGCCGUUGAAACUGUCGGUCUUGAGUGGGCGAGAAGUAUGCGGAAUGCGUGGUGUAGCGGUGAAAUGCAUAGAUAUCACGCAGAACUCCGAUUGCGAAGGCAGCAUACCGGCGCCCGACUGACGCUGAGGCACGAAAGCGUGGGUAUCGAACAGGAUUAGAUACCCCUGUAGUC
rnacentral:rRNA from 1 species